rnacentral:rRNA from 1 species
CAAUAGCGUAUAUUAAAGUUGUUGCAGUUAAAAAGCUCGUAGUUGGAUUUGUGGCUGUCACGGGCGGCCUAUCACUUAGUGUUAGUGCUUGCCUGUGUCGCCAUCCUUGGGUGGAGCCCGUGUGGCAUUAGGUUGUCGUGCGGGGGAUGCCCAUCGUUUACUGUGAGAAAAUUAGAGUGUUCAAAGCAGGCUUAUGCCGUUGAAUAUGUUAGCAUGGAAUAAUAAGAUAGGACCUCGGUACUAUUUUGUUGGUUUGCGCACCGAGGUAAUGAUUAAUAGGGACAGUUGGGGGUAUUCGUAUUUCAUUGUCAGAGGUGAAAUUCUUGGAUUUCUGAAAGACGAACUACUGCGAAAGCAUUUACCUAGGAUGUUUUCAUUAA